UACGUAGGGUGCAAGCGUUGUCCGGAAUUAUUGGGCGUAAAGAGCUCGUAGGCGGUCCGUCACGUCGGCUGUGAAAACCCGAGGCUCAACCUCGGGCCUGCAGUCGAUACGGGCAGACUAGAGUGCUGUAGGGGAGACUGGAAUUCCUGGUGUAGCGGUGGAAUGCGCAGAUAUCAGGAGGAACACCGGUGGCGAAGGCGGGUCUCUGGGCAGUAACUGACGCUGAGGAGCGAAAGCGUGGGGAGCGAACAGG
rnacentral:rRNA from 1 species